UCGAAAAUAUUAAGAUCUGUACCCGAGGAAGACCUUUUGACUUCCCGUUCGGUGGAUUGGAUUCCCGUAAUCGAGGAAGAUUUUUCAACUUUUCGAGCGACAAAUCGGAUUCCUAAAUGGGUGAAUUGGGUCCUUAUCCCUGAGAAGGCCCCUCGACUUCCAUUGGUGGUCCGGUUUCCCAUUCCCGAAGAAGGCUCCUUUGUUCCCGAAUAGGUAGGGCCAGGCUGAGCUUGCGUGACCAACCCGACACCGACCAUUGCUCCCUGUCACUUAACCACCAACCAAAACACACAAAAAGAAGUUU
rnacentral:lncRNA from 1 species